rnacentral:rRNA from 1 species
CAGUCGCCGCGGUAAUACGUAGGGUGCAAGCGUUAAUCGGAAUUACUGGGCGUAAAGCGUGCGCAGGCGGUUUGUUAAGACAGAUGUGAAAUCCCCGGGCUCAACCUGGGAACUGCAUUUGUGACUGGCAAGCUAGAGUCUGGCAGAGGGGGGUGGAAUUCCGCGUGUAGCAGUGAAAUGCGUAGAUAUGCGGAGGAACACCGAAGGCGAAGGCAGCCCCCUGGGCCAACACUGACGCUCAUGCACGAAAGCGUGGGGAGCAAACAGGAUUAGAUACCCCUGUAGUCCCUGUCUCUUAUCC